GUACCAAAAACCGACGGCCGGUUCUGCCGGUCUCACUCUUGGUGACUCUGAAUAAAGUAGCGGAUCGCACGGCCUUGCGCCGGCGACGGACCAUUCAAGUGUCUGCCCUAUCAGCUUUCGAUGGUAAGUGACCUGCUUACCAUGGCUUUCACGGGUAACGGGGAAUCAGGGUUCGACUCCGGAGAGGGAGCAUGAGAAACGGCUACCACUUCCAAGGAAGGCAGCAGGCGCGCAAAUUACCCAAUCCCGACACGGGGAGGUAGUGACGAAAAAUAACAAUGCCGCCCUCUGCGAGGGAGGUAAUUGGAAUGAGCACAAUUUACAAACCUUAGCGAGGAUCUAUUGGAGGGCAAGUCUGGUGCCAGCAGCCGCGGUAAUUCCAGCUCCAAUAGCGUAUAUUAAAGUUGUUGCAGUCAAAAAGCUCGUAGUUGGAUCUCAGGAGCGAGAGGCGCGGCUGGGCGCGGCCUUCGCGCAAGCGGGGUCGUCGUUCCGGCCAGCCCGAAUCGUUCCCUCCGCAGGCUCUCCGGUCGUGCUAUUAGCUUAGUGCGGCCGGCAGGUCUGCCGCUUACUUUGAAG
rnacentral:rRNA from 1 species